GGGGUGCCAGCAUCUCCCUGUCUUUCCUGCCAGCUCACUCUGGCAUGGCUUUUACAUGAGCUGACUGCUCAUCUUCCUCUCAGUCUUCCUCUGCUCCUGUUGUGGGCUAAUCAGCAGCAGCUCUUUGGGACCACCACAAGGAAGGACUUUGCAGAUGAAAACCAGCAUCCUGGAACUGUCUAAGGGAGAGGCUGCACAGACUGCUGCAUUUAGAGCUGAUUGGUGGUCUUUCCUUAUUUCAGAGACCCUGCUCACUCCCACUUCCUAACUGAAAUAUUUCUAGCCCAAACUGUCCUUUGGUUGGAAUUCAGACUCAUUGGUCACAGAGGUGAAUGGGACCUUGUAUGGAGACAGGUGAUUCAUCCAUACAUCAUGAGAACCCAUCCAAGUGGAAGCAGUCCCAUGCAAGCCAUAUGGAGCUAGUCUGGCAGCUCCCACAACCCAAGGAGGCGUCUGGCACUAUCUGUCAUCUUGUUCAAGAGGCUCAGACUGUUUUAACCUGGGAUCAUACAUGACCUGAAAGUAGAUCUAAGUCCUCAGUGACCUUGCGUGUACCAUGGCUCUGUGCUGGCCUUUAGCCUUGUCAUCAUGGAGAAUUUUGGCCCAUGAGGUAUACAGACAUUACUGAGAGCGGCUUCACUUAUUUCUUCAAUGCAGCUGCUUCUGCUUUUUUGUGUUCACAUUAAGAGGGGAAUAAAAUAUGGCUGUAGAAAAACACUGCUGAGAUUGUCCACUCCCUUGCUCAUCUCUGUCAGCAAAUAGAUCUUUUGUCAAGGGAAGAGGAGAGUCUCAAUUCUGCUCUCCUACCUGACAACUUCAAAUCCAGACAAAGAGACUGAGAAAUCUUCUGUGCAAACGAAAAGCUGCAAAUGAUUUAAAGUACAAUUUUCCUGUUGGGAGGAAUGUUCAAGAUCUAAAGUACAACUUGCUUGUUGGGAGAAGUGCUCAAAUAUUUUAGACUAAGGCAGGACUUUGGGGUUUUUAUGUGUUUUAAAAGUUUUCUAUUCUUCCAAAAGAUCCUUUUUCUGUUGCACUCACUGCAUACCAAGCUAUUUCUAAAAGAUGUGGUCUGUCUUGAACACCCUAUUUUCUUAAUAUGUGAUCAAAAAAUGUUCAUACUUUUGAAUUUGUGAAAUCAUAUUAAUUUCCAUGACAGCUGACUAAUGUUGCAAACAAAGGAUUAGUUGCUUUGUUGUGGCACGAAGCAGAGGGAGAAUUUAGAUCACAUGAGGCAAAAGCGAAGUGCCUAUACAAAUGCAAAUAUACUGUAGUUGCAAAAGCAAUAUAACAAAGGAAGAGCUAAAUAUGUUUUUCUUUAACUAAAUCUUCAAAUUCGUCAAGCUUGUUUUAGUGUUAAAAGUUGCUUUUUUUGGGGAAGAUGUCCGAGAAUAUCAGUUAAUUCCUUCUGCAAGGCUGAAGAGCUCGUCUCACUCACUGGUCAAGCAUCCAAACUGCAACUGGCCAAACAUCUGCGGGCAGACAAAGGCAGCUGUCCUUCAUGACGCUGGAGAAACCCACACAUCUUGUGCUGGGUCCUUAGCGUCGGCGGGAGCCAAGAACGCAGUUUCCUCCAGCAAUGCCGGCAUGUUCCUAUUCGUUAGCACACAGUGCCUUCUCGUGGGCGGCGGCGCUCAUUGCCGCCGGGAAGCCGCGGCGCGGCAGCUCCUUCCCGCCGCCUGCCCCUCUGCAGCUCAAGGCAGUUCGGGAAGAAACCCACGGAAUGCAAAACAUGUGCGUUUAGAUACAGAAAUUGCAAACGCAUGUGGAGCUUGCUGUACAUCACGACUUUCCAUUAAUGAAAGCUCUCUUUUGAAGUCUCUAGAAAUGGGAUGAACAUAGGGUAUGACUUUCACAGUGCUAAGGAACAUUCUUCUUUUUUGAUUUGAUUUUGUUCAAGAAAAAGAUACAAUCUCACACCGAAAUAGACGUAGCAGUAACUUGUCAGGCGCUCUCUCAUUAUCCUCCCUUUUUGCGGGAAGGUUUUUCUCUUUCUUUCGAAUUCAGACACAUACACAUACGUGCGCGUGGAUGCCAGAUGCUCGGGCGCACACAUGUACGGGGCUGUGUGUUGGGACAGUAAAUCAU